rnacentral:rRNA from 1 species
UACCAGCACCCCGAGUGGUCGGGACGAUUAUUGGGCCUAAAGCAUCCGUAGCCGGCCUUACAAGUCCCCCGUUAAAUCCAACUGCUUAACAGAUGGGCUGCGGAGGAUACUAUAAGACUAGGAGGCAGGAGAGGCAAGCGGUACUCAGUGGGUAGGGGUAAAAUCCGUUGAUCCAUUGAAGACCACCAGUGGCGAAGGCGGCUUCCUGGCCUGUUCUUGACGCUGAGGCGCGAAAGCUAGGGUAGCAAACGGG